CGCGUAGGCGGUUUGUUAAGUCGGAUGUGAAAGCCCCGGGCUCAACCUGGGAAUUGCACCCGAUACUGGCCGACUAGAGUACGAGAGAGGGAGGUAGAAUUCCACGUGUAGCGGUGAAAUGCGUAGAUAUGUGGAGGAAUACCGGUGGCGAAGGCGGCCUCCUGGCUCGAUACUGACGCCGAGGUGCGAAAGCGUGGGGAGCAAACA
rnacentral:rRNA from 1 species